rnacentral:lncRNA from 1 species
UAUCAUUACUAAAUGUGACAACUAUGAGUACUCUACUGUCAAGGAUAGCUCGCGAAGGGUAUGGGUAUAAGUAUCCCUCCGACCUGAGAUCACCACAGUGACUUACAAGCAACUCACUGUAAUUUGGUGCUAGACUAUUUGAGUUUAUAAUUCAGUGAUGAAAGAUUUUUAGGUGCAGUUAAAUACUUAUCAAAUCAGUGCGUGAGUCA